GAUGAACACUGGCGGCGUGCCUAAUACAUGCAAGUCGAGCGAACGGACGAGAAGCUUGCUUCUCUGAUGUUAGCGGCGGACGGGUGAGUAACACGUGGAUAACCUACCUAUAAGACUGGGAUAACUUCGGGAAACCGGAGCUAAUACCGGAUAAUAUUUUGAACCGCAUGGUUCAAAAGUGAAAGUCGGUCUUGCUGUCACUUAUAGAUGGAUCCGCGCUGCAUUAGCUAGUUGGUAAGGUAACGGCUUACCAAGGCAACGAUGCAUAGCCGACCUGAGAGGGUGAUCGGCCGCACUGGAACUGAGACACGGUCCAGACUCCUACGGGAGGCAGCAGUAGGGAAUCUUCCGCAAUGGGCGAAAGCCUGACGGAGCAACGCCGCGUGAGUGAUGAAGGUCUUCGGAUCGUAAAACUCUGUUAUUAGGGAAGAACAUAUGUGUAAGUAACUGUGCACAUCUUGACGGUACCUAAUCAGAAAGCCACGGCUAACUACGUG
rnacentral:rRNA from 1 species